rnacentral:sRNA from 1 species
GCCCUCAUGUCUGCGUGCAGCGGCUGCCACUGCUUUAAUACUUUUAGAGGCCCUCAAAAUCACAAACUAUGUUCAACUCACUCCACAUUUUUCAUAACUUCCAAAAUCUAUUUUCUUCCUCAUACCUGACGCAUAUACUUUUCUGCUCCCCGGCUCCUUCAGCUGUACUCACUCUUCCUUAAGUCCCACAAUUACCAUUGUUCCUGGCCCGGACUUCAAUCCAGCCUCCCACAUUAUUCCAGAUACCACACCUGACCUUCAUGACUGUAUCUCUCUGAUCCGCCUGAUAUUCACCCCAUUUCCCCAUAUUUCCUUCUUUCCUGUUCCUCACCCUGAUCACACUUGAUUUAUCAAUGGCAGUUCCACCAGGCCUAAUAACCACACACCAGCAAAGGCAGGCUAUGCUAUAGUAUAAGCCACUAGCCCACCUCUUA